AGAGUGAACGCUGGCGGCGUGCUUAACACAUGCAAGUCGAGCGAUCUUCAGCAGCGUAUCGCUGAAGGUAGCGGCAGACGGGUGAGUAAUACUUAGGCAAUCUACCCUCGAGUGGGAAAUAACCUGGCGAAAGCCGGGCUAAUGUCCCGUAAGACCACGUUCCCGCAUGGGAAUGAGGUAAUAGCUCCGCAAGGGGCGUUUGAGGAGGAGCCUAAGGCCUAUCACGGUAGUUGGUGAGGUAACGGGCUCACCAAGCCUACGACGGGUAGCCGACCUGAAAGGGUGA
rnacentral:rRNA from 1 species